UACGGGGGGGGCAAGCGUUGUUCGGAAUUACUGGGCGUAAAGGGCUCGUAGGCGGCCAACUAAGUCGGAUGUGAAAUCCCCAGGCUUAACCUGGGAACUGCAUCCGAUACUGGAUGGCUUGAAUCCGGGAGAGGGAUGCAGAAUUCCAGGUGUAGCGGUGAAAUGCGUAGAUAUCAGGAGGAACACCGGUGGCGAAGGCGCCACUCUGGGCCGAAACUGACGCUGAGGAGCGAAAGCGUGGGUAGCAAACAGG
rnacentral:rRNA from 1 species